CCAAUAGCGUAUAUUAAAGUUGUUGCAGUUAAAAAGCUCGUAGUUGAAUUUCGGGAUCAAUAUAUCGGUCGUGCCAUCGGUACGUACUGGUAUCAUUGGUUUCUCCUUUCUGACGAACCAUGAUGUCAUUAAUUUGGUGUUAUGGGAAGUUAGGACUGUUACUUUGAAAAAAUUAGAGUGUUUAAAGCAGGCAUUAGCUUGAAUACAUUAGCAUGGAAUAAUGAAAUAGGACGUUCGAACCUAUUUUGUUGGUUUCUAGGAUCAACGUAAUGAUUAAUAGGGGUAGUUGGGGGCAUUAGUAUUCAAUUGUCAGAGGUGAAAUUCUUGGAUUUAUUGAAGACUAACUACUGCGAAAGCAUUUGCCAAGGAUGUUUUCAUUAAUCAAGAACGAAAGUUAGGGGAUCGAAGACGAUCAGAUACCGUCGUAGUCUUAACCAUAAACUAUGCCGACUAGGGAUCGGAUGAUGUUAAUUUUUUAAUGACUCAUUCGGCGCCUUACG
rnacentral:rRNA from 1 species